rnacentral:snRNA from 9 species
AUACCUACCUGGCGUCGGGAUACCGUGAUCAUGCAGGCGGUUCCCCCGGGGUGCGGCUGCUCCAUUGCACUGCGGAGUGGUUGACCCUUGCGAUUAUUUUUAUAUUUUAUAAGUUUCACUUCUACCGUGUGUGACUUGCACACACACACA